rnacentral:misc_RNA from 1 species
UGCGCUCUUUGCCAACAUCAGAACGUUAAAACGAAGUCGGGCUGGGACGUGAUAACGCGACUACAGUGUAAACAGUGUGACAUAAACCUCUGUAAAGAAUGCUUUGUGGUAUACCAUAUUCUUCUCUCAGAAGGAAGAGCCCCGGCACUCCGGAAGAAACAUUUCUCGUACUUUCAGUUUCCCAAGUGAUUUGCUUCGGUUUGAUUCCCUUUUACCGAUCUUUGUAAACUAUCGAUUAGAGCAGCGACAAAUAAUUAGUUUGGUGUAGAUAACUGAAGUGUAGUAAUACGAUACAAUAAGGGGACAUGACACUAGAAAUCCAAGAUUUUUGUUCGUGUGAAUGAGGAUUAUAAAUAUACCAGAAGUGCUGCAAGUAUCAUUUAUCCAAAGCUUUUCUGUUUACAGGGCGUGAACAGAAAAUCUCUGGGUUGGCAAAGAACGAUAGCGAUGAAAACCUCCACAGAAUUGUACCAACGGAAGGCAAAAAGCAAAAGCGGUGUUUGCUUUGUCAGUUAAGGAGAGUGCGCACGCGCAGUGGUUGGGAAGUUUUAACACAGAACCGAUGUUCUCGCUGUCUUGUUCCACUGUGUACUGGAGUGCGCAAUUGUUUUGCGUUAUAUCACUCUUUCUCACACGGGAAUUUAUCUGUUGAUGCCCAAAAGUAACGGACAUGCUAGUUAGUGUUGUGUGUUUCUUUUUAUUUGUGUUUUUUAACCUGAAAAUCGUUUCAAUUUGAUUUUGAUGUCAUGCUGAUGUUUUAUUUAAAUGUACAUGUAACUUGUUUGCGCACAAUAAAAUGUUAUCCGG